rnacentral:rRNA from 1 species
UACCAGACUCCUACGGGAGGCAGCAGUGGGGGAUAUUGCACAAUGGGGGAAACCCUGACGCAGCGACGCCGCGUGAGUGAAGAAGUAUUUCGGUAUGUAAAGCUCUAUCAGCAGGGAAGAAAAUGACAGUACCUGACCAAGAAGCCCCGGCUAACUACGUGCCAGCAGCCGCGGUAAUACGUAGGGGGCAAGCGUUAUCCGGAUUUACUGGGUGUAAAGGGAGCGUAGACGGUUAUGUAAGUCUGGAGUGAAAGCCCGGGGCCCAACCCCGGGACUGCUUUGGAAACUGUGCAGCUAGAGUGCAGGAGAGGUAAGUGGAAUUCCUAGUGUAGCGGUGAAAUGCGUAGAUAUUAGGAGGAACACCAGUGGCGAAGGCGGCUUACUGGACUGUAACUGACGUUGAGGCUCGAAAGCGUGGGGAGCAAACAGGAUUAGAUACCCCUGUACA